GAUUAACGCUGGCGGCGUGCCUAAUACAUGCAAGUCGAGCGAACAGACGAGGAGCUUGCUCCUCUGACGUUAGCGGCGGACGGGUGAGUAACACGUGGAUAACCUACCUAUAAGACUGUGAUAACUUCGGGAAACCGGAGCUAAUACCGGAUAAUAUAUUGAACCGCAUGGUUCAAUAGUGAAAGACGGUUUUGCUGUCACUUAUAGAUGGAUCCGCGCCGCAUUAGCUAGUUGGUAAGGUAACGGCUUACCAAGGCGACGAUGCGUAGCCGACCUGAGAGGGUGAUCGGCCACACUGGAACUGAGACACGGUCCAGACUCCUACGGGAGGCAGCAGUAGGGAAUCUUCCGCACUGGGCGAAAGCCUGACGGAGCAACGCCGCGUGAGUGAUGAAGGUCUUCGGAUCGUAAAACUCUGUUAUUAGGGAAGAACAAAUGUGUAAGUAACUAUGCACGUCUUGACGGUACCUAAUCAGAAAGCCACGGCUAACUACGUG
rnacentral:rRNA from 1 species